rnacentral:lncRNA from 1 species
CUUCCUUCCCCCUUUCCUCUAACUGCUCUUUUGUCUUCAGGAAGGUACAAGUCAGGAAUUUCGAUUUCUGGAGCUCCUCAAGUGGAGUCGAUUUCUGGAGUGCCCAACCCUGCAAGGUUAUUGGCAGUACCUGGUGUUGCUAAGGCUGAUUUAAUUCCUAUUCCCAGAGGCAGCUUUUCCAAGGUGAUUCCUGACUUUUUUUUGCUUUCUUGCAGGUUUUUGGCAGUACCUGGUGUUGUUAAGGCUGAUUUAAUUCCUAUUACCAGAGGCAGCUUUUCCAAGGUGAUUCCUGACACAGGAGAUGGUAACUGCUACAGGUAAA